rnacentral:rRNA from 1 species
AUUGAACGCUGGCGGCAUGCCUUACACAUGCAAGUCGAACGGUAACGGGCCUUCGGGUGCCGACGAGUGGCGAACGGGUGAGUAAUGCAUCGGAACGUACCUUUCAGUGGGGGAUAACGUAGCGAAAGUUACGCUAAUACCGCAUAUUCUGUGAGCAAGAAAGCAGGGGAUCGCAAGACCUUGCGCUGAUUGAGCGGCCGAUGUCAGAUUAGCUAGUUGGUGAGGUAAAGGCUCACCAAGGCGACGAUCUGUAGCGGGUCUGAGUGGAUGAUCCGCCACACUGGAACUGAGACACGGUCCAGACUCCUACGGGAGGCAGCAGUGGGGAAUUUCGGACAAUGGGGGCAACCCUGAUCCAGCCAUGCCGCGUGAGUGAAGAAGGCCUUCGGGUUGUAAAGCUCUUUCGGCCGGGAAGAAAUCGUAUGGGCUAAUACCCUGUGCGGAUGACGGUACCGGCAUAAGAAGCACCGGCUAACUACGUGCCAGCCGCCGCGGUAA